AGGGGGUAUAAUUUAAGGGUAAAACAGGGGCCUCCAGAACCUCUGAUGUGGGUUCAAUUCCCGCCAUCCACUU
rnacentral:tRNA from 2 species